rnacentral:lncRNA from 1 species
GUUGGGGAAGUCAUAGAAGUAGUAGUGUGGUAGGUGGUAGUGUGGUAGGUGAGUAACUUCUUUUAAAGAUUUUAUUAUAAUAUCUUUUUGUUAAGUGUCUUAAUCUUGAUAUCUCUUUAAUAUUAUUUUUUGGUAGUGUUAAAUUCAUGGUAAUAUGUAGUAAUAUUUAUUGUAAUAUUCUUCCGAUAGUUGUUUUAAUCUGAAUAUUUCUUUAAUAUUAUUUAUGAUAUAUUCUAGAUAUAACAUAUCUUGGGUUCUUUGGUACAUAUAUAAAUUUUCCUCCAUUAAUUGUUCUAAUAGUUUUAUAUCUUCCAUAGCUUCUAUCCAAUAUUGUAAAUAUUUGUAAUUCAUUUUAAUCUGAAUUUAUUUCUAAAU